UCUUGCCAAGUGUAUAUUUUCAGUCCCUCUAGUCAGGGCAACAAUUGACAAAAAAAGAAUCAUCAGAGAAGCCCACUGUAUCCAGGUAUUAAAUCUUAAUUGGCCCAAAGGACAAAAGAUCAAAUCAUAAAUGCAGGUUUUUGGUGACCUAAGCACACAGCCAACACAAGAGGAGUCCUAGCAGCUCUUCCCUUAGACUUCUGACAUGCCACUAGCAUGGUCAACUCAGAGGCAGGCUGAAGAUAGGACAGGACAUAGAAGACAAUCAGAUUAUCCAGAAAAUAAAGGAAGGCAGGAAUGGACCACUUCAUAUAAUGGCAGAGAUCUCUCCAAGA